rnacentral:RNase_P_RNA from 1 species
GAAGCUGGCCGGACAGUCGCUGCAUGCCUUCGGGUACGCAGAGGAAAGUCCGGGCUCCGCAGAGCAGGAUGCCGGCUAACGGCCGGACGCCGCGAGGCGAUGGAAAGUGGCACAGAAAAUACACCGCCGAUGGCCCGCAGGGGAUCAGGCAAGGGUGAAAAGGUGCGGUAAAGGCGCACCGCGGACGUGGUAACACGGACGGCACGCUAAACCCCAUCCGGAGCAAGACCAAAUAGGCAAGCGAUGACGCUGCUCGCCGAGCUUGCGGGUUGGUUGCUCGAGCUUUGAGGUAACUCAAGGCCCAGAUGAAUGACUGUCACAGGGGGCGACCCCUGACAGAACCCGGCUUACAGGCCAGCUUCACCU